CCGCACCCCCCACCGAGCAGCCUUAUCAUCCUUCUAGGCCCGCCAGGGGUUAUCUGUGUUGAUUCGUUACACCACCGCCAUUACCCUCCAAUACGUCUCCUCCGCGUGCUUCUCCACCUGUAGCUCAUUGGAACCGAUCCCAUUAAAGAUCGUGCCUCUUUCAUCAGUGCUUCUUUUGGGGAGUGAUUUCUGCGAUGCGUUCCAUUUUGUACCAAGCCCCCAUUCACGAACAUAAUGGAUAUCGACGAGGAUACUGUUGUGUCGCCUCUCACCUCCAACCUAACCUCCUCAAACCGUUGGAUCUCACCGAUUGCAAGGCUGCCUUCCGGAUGUGUGGUUUUGGAUAUGAUAAUGCUAACGAUUCAUCUGCCUCUGCGAACUUCCACCGUCCGUUUUCAAUUUUAAUAUGUGGUUUGGUCAUCAUCUGCCUCUUCUCAACGUUAUCGAUUGAGAUGGUUGGGGAAGGAAGAACAGAGGCGAAGGUCGACAGAUUCGUUUACUCUUACCACUUGGAUUCCAAGAGGAAAGCAGUAAGAAUCAACAAUCAAGACCGGACCUGCCUACCUGAGGGUUUGAUUUUUUCUCGGCUUCUACAAUCAUGCUCUAAUUGAAGGCAACACUGCUGGUAUGCUUUCUGUUUACCAAAAAUAUCUUUUUUACAUGCAACAACCUGAUUGCAUGCUUCGUGUAUCAGACUUCGUUGAUACAUUCGAUUACUCCAUUCGAAAGGUAUAAUAUUCUAUAUGUAAAAUGUUUAGUUUGUAUUUUUCCUGUUUCUAUGUUGUGAUUUUAGACUCUGAACAUGGACUAAAAUUUGUUGUUCACUAUAUGGAAAACAUAAACAUGCCCAGAACUAAAUAAACUAUUUAGAUGGUAUGAACUUUAUAUAAAUGCUUAUACUGAUCUAUUCUUUUCAGAUUCCAUCUUUUAUUCUUUUGGCUAUGGUGGAUGAUGUUAGGGGUUAUACACAACCUAAUAGUUCAUCUUCACUUUAUUUCAUAAAGUCAAAAUAUGGAUGACUGAGGGUUUAUCUAUUUCAUUUGCUACUUUGGAGAUGCACAUUAGAAUGGAGUAUAUGCAUCAAAUUAACUAUCACAAUCUAAUGAUUUGACUUGCACGUUAGAUGUUUGACAGAAUGUCUGAAAGAAACUGAUCAGAUUCUCUUGAAAGGUACAUUUGGUUAUGGAUUUUAUUUACAUUUACAGAUUGAUCUGCAAGUGGUCCCUGAUUUUGAGUUUUUAGUCAAAAAUCCACAUGAUGUUUGGGUGGGAAAAACAUGGAUUAUGUGAGAUAGCUUAUUGAGUGUACAUAUUUCACAUGGCUCAAGAUAGAGGAUGGAGUAAUGUUCAUUUGACCGUGGUUCAAAAAAUCACAAGUUUAUUCAUCUUUUCAAUAUUUGGAGCUUUUAUGUUAAUUCCAGGUGAUGCUCAAUACAGUUGCUGCUACAAUAUUAGUGCUUAAAAUUUGUACAAGUGGCGAUUGGUCCUCAACACUUAAAAGGUAACCAUUUGAUUCAACAUGUGGAUAUUGUAAACGAAAAUCAAAAGUAUAACAGGUUAGCAAAUAAUUUUUAUAUAUAAAUUUUUAUUCUCAACUUUUUGGAUGCUUUUUGAUAUAAUAACCUUCAUUUCGGUCAAUUUAUUUUCAGAAUGGUGAAAUUGUUGGACGAGACGGACACAUUUAGUGAUUUUGGAGCUGUUACAAUAUUACGUACAGACGGAUGGGAUUUGAUAUGUUGAAGAUGUUCAAUAUCACAUUGAUCAUGGAACUUCUGAAAGAGUUGCUGGUUUUAUAGCUGAAAGUAUUCAGGGAGUUGGGAGAGCAGCGGAAUUGGCCCCAGGUGGUGUUUGUAUUAUUGAUGAAGUUCAAGCUGGAUUUCUUAGAACCGGAAGCCAUUAUUGGGGUUUCCAAACCUUAUAUAUUAAUCUUAAUGUUUUUCUACAAAUAACUAUUGAUUGUUAACAAAAAUUGUUAAACAUUUUUUGUUGAAGAUGGUAAAUUAUACAAAUAACCUCAUUCAAUA